UUUGCCUGACAAAUCCCUCAGAAGUAUACCACAGCUGUUCUGCAAUAGGAAUGAUGGGGAGAGUCUUUUGUAUCCUAGGAAUUGUCUUCUACAUUUUAGACUUGUACACUGAUUUAGUAGUCGGUAUUUCAGAUUUCAAAGGAUUUUCCCAAAAGCUAGGGAUCUUUGAGAUUGCUCUGGUAUCGUUUACUUUAGGUCAUGAGAACUUCAGAUCUGCUAACAGUGCUUACACAACGGAGGAAGAGGUUCUGAGAAUAACGUUUGGAAGAUUCAUGUUAUCUGCCAAAGAAUGGAGCGAAUCAAACUUAAACUGGAGCGGAAUAGGUUUAAAAUGUUCUUUUACAAGCUAUCUUGUCCGUUCAAGGUACAGGGAAGUUUUCUGAGUAAGCUAAGAGCGAUAUUCUACAAUCUACUGACAUGUUUCCAAUUAAGGCCAGUCGUGGAUAGGUUGGUAAUAUUCCUACACGCACCAAUAAGCUUGCGUGAGUAUUACAGACGUCAAGCAGAACAGAAUAGCUUGAAACAGUUUUACCUGAUUUUGGAACAAUUGCCGGAACUCCUGGUUCAGUUCUAUACAUUUCAAAUAGUGAUGAACAACCUUUCCCCAAGAGAUAUUGAAAAGUUUGCCGGUGAAUGUUACCACUAUUUCGAUUAUCAACGUAUGAAUACAAACAGCACCAACGACACCAACCUAUUUUGUGAAAAGCUCCCACUAUCUGAUACAGGAUUAGGAACAUAUUGUGGCACUGUGUUUCGUAUAUUCUCAAUGGCAAUUCCAUUUUACAACAUUCCCUCGGGAAUUGCCUCUUUGGAAGAUGGCUUUAGGAAAUUGGACCCGCUGACUCCUAAAAUGUCCACUAUUUUAAAGAUCAUUUUCCAAGCAUCCUAUACAUUAAUGAUACCAGCCAGGUUGUUCAUGUUUGCAGCAUGCUGUGUUUAUAAAGGAGUAUGUCUUUGGGUUCAUCAUCUUCAGAGUGAUCAUGGAACUCUUGGUAAACCUUUAUGGCCUCAAAGCGAACUUCACAGGACUUUCCCUUAAAAGUGUUUCAAUCUUAUGGCGAAUGGUCUUGUUUAGUAUCAGAGAUGUGUUUCUAAUAUCGAUAAGAAACCCUGACGCUUACCUCUCAAAACCCUCAGACGUUUCUUACAAGUCAUUGAGAAAGAGGAAAAAUCUAGCUGUCCGUGCAAUCCCAUUUAUCUGCGAGGGUUUGGUCGCAGCUUUGAUCAUUGAACAAAAAUAUCCGUGCGGUAAGCAUUUCAACUAUUUCAAAUAUUUGGGAUGGUUUUGUAUAAUUCCUCUAAUGCUCUCGGUAUCAGCAAUGGUCAUGGUUUCAGACCUUUUCCAUCCAUUUGAAGGAAGAUCUUCGUCACUAAGAAAGAAAACAAAGAAGCUCCUUCUCGCUGGUUUUAUCAGUAUUAUGUUCAUGGGAGUUGUUGUAUGGACCUUCAUUGUUAGUCAGAAAAGAGGGUCAGUGGAACUUCUGGUCAUGGGUCUGGUAAUUUUUCUUCAUAUCGUCCUUGUUGCUGGACUCUGUCUGUUUGUCAAGAUGUCCAACAAAAGUAAAGAAAGUAAAGAAAGUAAAGAAACUCCGUACACACCUGUAGCUACGUCAACCGCAUCAGUCGACCACCAUCAGUCGACCACACCAGUCUGAUGAAUUACCCUUUUGUCUAUUUAAUUCAUCCUCGGCUUACCAGAGCCAUAAAAACUGUGUAUUUUAAAGUAUUUGCUGAGUAAAUAUCAAUUCAUAGACUAUAUCAGUCUUCUCAAAGCAAUAACAAUGAAAGUGAAGCAGAAAUCAUUUCAUCAGCAAAAUAUCCCUCUGUCAUUCCAGAAUCAUCUUAAAGCUUUAUUGAGCUGGAUUUACGACACAGUUAACUGGUGGACUUCUUAAAUUAACCUCGCAACAGCACAUAACUAAACUGCAAUCCGGGGUGUCUCCAAUCUUUCCAACUGAUGUUACGCUGAUAUCCAGAUCAAAACCAGGGUGUACACUUUUAUUCGGAUGAAUCUACAUGGUAUAGCAAAGUGUAUCAUAUAUCCAACAUUUUACUGCUCUAUUAUAAAGAACUAAACUGCAAACCGGGGUGUCUCAAAUCUUUCCAACUGAUGUCCGCUCGCUUACACUAGUACUACCUUCGUCUUUUAACCCUCUAACUCUACACUGAUAUCCAGAUCAAAACCAGGGUGUACACUUUUAUUCGG